GGAAGCUGAGGCUUUUGGCCCUUCCCUGCACUUUUACCUGGACACGCCAGAGUCCUGGGGCCGCUGCUGCCUGCCUGGGCAGUGGGUCUGGAGACCCGGCCUUAUAUCUAGGCAGCCACCCUGUGCAGAGCCCGAGAGAGUCACACGGUGUGGCCUGGCUGGUCUCAUCUUCCUAGAGCUGCCAAGAGGAAGAAGGCAAAGAGCUUUCACCAUCCUGCCUUGACUGCAAAGGGAUGGAACUCGGGACUUUGUGCUUGUGAAGCAGGCGGUGGCACCACUGAGCUAAAUCUCCAGCCCUACUCUUGUAAAAUCUUGAAGAGAUAAUGGAGUACGGAGAAAACCUCCAGGUGACUUCGUAUUUGUUGCUCCUUGGGGUUGAUUUUGGAUAAGUCAGUUCUUAUAUCUGGCCUCUGUCUCCCCACCUCUAAAAUAAGGGUGUUGGGCUGCGGGAUGGGGCUGGCUGGGCUGGCUCUGCUCAGCAGUCACUACGCAGUGAGGAUGGGCUGUGAUUUGGGGAAAGAGCUGUUUGGAUGUGCACUGCAGCAGCACCUAAUAGCCUCCCUGCCCCACGGUAGGACCAGCUUCAAUGUCCAGAAACAGGCCAUUAUUAAAUAAACCUGGGCUGCCAGGCAGCCAGCACAGAACAAUGUAGAGAGACCAAAUGAAGCAACUGAAAAGGGAAACUAUUCCCUCUACAUUUUAAUACAGUUUUUCUUCAUCUAGAGAACAUUCUGGAAGAAAAUGCACACAAAGUAACAACGCUUGUUUUUUGGUGGGAUCAUCCCAGGUGACUUUUACUACCUUCUUGGUGCUUUUCAGAAUUUAAACAAUUUUCCCAACCCAAAUAUGUAAUGUGUACUAUAGCAGCUCAGAUCCAAGGAGGUAUUUUCUAAAAUCAAUUUUCUUUAAAGUACUUUCUAUUUCCAUUUCUGGAUCUGGUAUCUCCUAAAAAGUAAGAAACCAGUUACUGUUGGUGAUAAACCACCUGCUCAUUAUCAAUGUGAGAUUUAACAAAUAAGUAAUACAUGCUGCAUUUAUUCAAGUGUUUAUUGAUGAAUUGGUUUUUUUUUGUACUGGGAUCAAAAUGCAAGGUCCUUGCAUUUGCGAGGUAGGUGGCAGAACCACUGAGCUAAAUUCCCAGCUCACUGAAUUGUUAAUUGUGAGGAGAUUAUUGAAUUCCUCCUCCAUAUUUCUGCAGUUUCCUAUACAAUAACUCUUUGAGUAAGCUGAAGUUUAAUUGUGUACACAUUUGUAGUAGAGUACAAAUAGUGUUUUUCUUUACAGCCUUUUUUGACCCAGAAGCGAAGGGUGAUGUUAACUAGUACACUUUGUUUUUAUACUAGCUAUAUUUCUAUAAGGUAUGAUGCCCUGUGUAUCCCAGAGAGGCUAGAAAACUGUUCUUUGCUCCUAUUUGUGGGUGCAUUUUUGUGGGAGAUUUUGGAGAAUGUGCAU
rnacentral:lncRNA from 1 species